AUGAGUGCUCUACAGUAAGAUUGUAAACUUUAAUUAUAUGUGUCUGUUUUUGCAGUGACUCAAUGUGGAUUGUGAAGACACAGAAGGGGACGCAUUUGGAUCUUGAAUCAUGAAUGUUGAAUCUUGAUGCUCACAGAAAAGGAAGUCAACCAGACAGGCUCUGAAAAUUGAUGAAAUGGAACAAAUUAUUUGGACAAGACACUAGAAAAAUUCUACUCGGUCGGUUUUGUAAUCAUACCUCAAGAUACUUGCGAGAUCUUCGUCUGCACUGCACUAGCAUUUCAGUCGUCGCCGCCGCACCACGAUCACUCGGCGGCAUCCACAUCUAGUGGUGGUGGAUCUACAUGCAAGGAGCAUGCGCACUACCACUGGAUGUGGAUGCUGGAUGAGUUGGGCAACCUCGGCCGCUCCAGUACCAACUGCCCGACCAGGUGUUGCUAACCAUAUUCGGCUACUUGCUGUCGGUUUCAGGGCAUCAGCUCUGGUAAGUAGCAAAUUAACAAUAAUUAUCUGUGGUUUUAUUGAAUUAUAAUGUCGCAUCCACACUAUCGCCCAAGUGCGUACUAAUGACGACGACCGCGAGAGUGUGGAUGGGUGGUUUGCCAGUGCUGGCCUUGAUUGGCCUACGCUGGGCUGGCCGACGCUGGCCGACGUUGGGCCAAUAUGUAGCUACAACAGCUGAAACCAUACAGGCUAUACCUUACUAUCAUUCUCUAACUUAUUGACUUGGACUCUUCAGGUAUUAUGUGUGUAGGUGUUGUGAUCGAAUUCCCAUCUAGCUGUUAACCCUGUUGUCAAUAUUUGCAGUAGCACAAGUCUUCGGGGUGAUUUACAGCAUUUAAUUUGGAUUACUGUUUAGUAAUA